rnacentral:rRNA from 1 species
GUGCCAGCCGCCGCGGUAAGACGUAGGAUCCGAGCGUUGUCCGGAGUUACUGGGCGUAAAGGGCGCGUAGGCGGCUUUAUAAGUCGGGGGUGAAAGCCCGGAGCUCAACUCCGGGACUGCCUUGGAUACUGGAUGGCUUGAGCAUUGGAGAGGCAAGGGGAAUUCCACGUGUAGCGGUGAAAUGCGUAGAUAUGUGGAGGAACACCAGUGGCGAAGGCGCCUUGCUGGCCAAUUGCUGACGCUGAGGCGCGAAAGUGUGGGGAGCAAACAGGAUUAGAUACCCUGGUAGUCC